UAAGCCUGUGAAGGUGGCCUGUGAGGGUUGCUGGAGGUAUCAGAAGUGCGAAUGCUGACAUAAGUAACGAUAAAGCGGGUGAAAAGCCCGCUCGCCGGAAGACCAAGGGUUCCUGUCCAACGUUAAUCGGGGCAGGGUGAGUCGACCCCUAAGGCGAGGCCGAAAGGCGUAGUCGAUGGGAAACGGGUUAAUAUUCCCGUACUUGGUGUUACUGCGAAGGGGGGACGGAGAAGGCUAUGUUGGCCGGGCGACGGUUGUCCCGGUUUAAGCGUGUAGGUGUGUGUUCCAGGUAAAUCCGGUUCACUUUAACACUG
rnacentral:rRNA from 1 species